rnacentral:rRNA from 1 species
CAGUAGCCACGGUAAUACGUAGGGUGCGAGCGUUGUCCGGAAUUACUGGGCGUAAAGAGCUCGUAGGCGGUUUGUCACGUCGUCUGUGAAAUCCUAGGGCUUAACCCUGGACGUGCAGGCGAUACGGGCUGACUUGAGUACUACAGGGGAGACUGGAAUUUCUGGUGUAGCGGUGGAAUGCACAGAUAUCAGGAAGAACACCGAUGGCGAAGGCAGGUCUCUGGGUAGUAACUGACGCUGAGGAGCGAAAGCAUGGGUAGCGAACAGGAUUAGAUACCCCUGUAGUCCCUGUCUCUUAUAC